rnacentral:lncRNA from 1 species
GUGGUAUAAGUGGAUGAGAUGGGGGAAGGUGAAGGUAACUUUUGUUUUAUUAGAUAAAAAUCUUAAACAAGCUACAGCCCUCCAAACUAAAGGUCCAAUCUGGGCUAAGCAAAUGUUGAAAAAUCUACAGGAAUCUAUGAUAACUGGGUCUACAACAGGCUGCUAAAGGUCCAAUCUGGGCUAAAGAAAUUAUGUAAAAUCUACAGAAAUCUAUGAUAAUUGGGUCUACGACAGGCUUAAAUGCCAAAGUGAAGGGGUAGGUAUAAACAUAGGAAUACCCUUU